GACGAACGCUGGCGGCGUGCUUAACACAUGCAAGUCGAACGGAAAGGCCCUGCUUGCAGGGUACUCGAGUGGCGAACGGGUGAGUAACACGUGGGUGAUCUGCCUUGCACUUCGGGAUAGGCCUCGGCAACUGGGUCUAGUACCGGAUAGGAGCUAUUUUUAGUGGGAUGGUUGGAUAGUUUUUUUCGGUGUUGGAUUAGCUGGCGGCCUAACCGCUUGUUGGUGGGGUAAUGGCCUACCAAGGCGGCGACGGGUAGCCGGCCUGAGAGGGUGGACGGCCACAUAGGCACUGAGAGACGGCACAGACACCUACGGGAGGCAGAAGGGGGGAAUAUUGAACAAGGGGCGCAAGCCUGAUGCAGCGACGCCGCGUGGGGGAUGACGGCCUUCGGGUGGAAAACUACUUUCGCUAGGGACGAAGCUUUUUGUGACGGUACCUAGAUAAGAAGCACCGGCUAACUACGUG
rnacentral:rRNA from 1 species